rnacentral:misc_RNA from 1 species
GCUUAAGCUGCAAGCUAGUGUGGUGUUGAUAACUUGAUGGGAUUAUCUGUUUCUUUUUUCUCCUUUUAUCUCCCAAUUUAUUUAUAUAUCAUGAUUGAGACUAGCUGAUUCAACUAUAAUUGUUUAGCGCAAUUUGAUGCAUCACUUACUCAGAUUCUUUUCCCUAUUCGGUUUAAACUUUUAGUUAAUGUGUAGCUUAGGGCUUAUGUGUCUGGUUUUUUAUCUUCCUAACUACUUAUUCACUGCUAACAGGUUGAUUGGUUG